GUCAUGGGUUUGGAGGUUGCUGUCUAAGGAGCCUUGGCAAACUUUUGCUGUGAAUCAUGUAGGUAGUAAACACUGUGCUGAGUAUUGGUGAUGGAGGGAGUGAAUACUUGUGGAUAUGGUGCCAAUUAAGUGGGCUGCUUCGUCCUGGAAGGUGUCCUUUGGGUGAGUUAUUCGCCACAAGAUUCUGAGCAUCUGACCUGCUCUUGUCACCACUGCAUUUAUAUGUAUGACCAGAAUGUACGAUAAUUUCAACAGUGAUGUACUGGAGCUUUGCUAAAUAAUGUUAAGCAGUGUGAAGAAUCUGAUUGCAGCUUGAAACCUUGACCUAAUGUGACCUGCCAUACACCCUCCCUUGACUGUUAUCAGCAAAUUUCUGUCACCAGGGCCUCAAGAGCAGGUAACAGUAAGGUUGAUCAAGUGAUGUGUAGUAACUGAAGUUACCAGCAAAACAUUGACACUAGCUGGAAAACUAAAGUUGUAUGCUGUGCAAGAGACAUAAUUUCAUCUGGCAAAUAUGAUUCACAUUCUACACGUGUUGCUUGCAAGUAACUAAAAUCAUCCAAGAGAAAAGGAGUCAAAUGAAAGACAAUACUUUGUCCUUUAUGCUGUUACCUAUUUUCAUCAUGAGUCACUACUUCUGAGAAUACAUGAACGUUUUAAAAAAUGAGAAGUUAUGUGCAAUCUCCAUGAAUCAUAAAGUGACAAGUUUUAUAAUCUGAGAAUUAUCAAUAAGAAGGAUAAAAUAUUUGUGUUUAAGUAAUAGAAAACUGCUUGGCCAAGUAUUUACUGAAAUACAGAUUAAGUAACUGUAAUAAGUAUGAUACCCAAAACAUUUUCAUAUUUAUGCUCUAUUUAUAAUGUUAUGUUGUCAUGCAAAAAUAAAGGCAAACUCUAUUCAUUGCAACAUUUAAUAAUUUUCUCUUAGAUCUCAGUUACGGAGAGAAAAACCCUUUGUUCUGUUUCUGUAUGGCUGCCUGAGGCAGUGAGUUCAUGACGUGUUACUGCCCCCUAGUGAUACCUUUUCAUUACAGACUACUCCAAUCAUCAACACUAAUCAGUGAAAACUACUUCUGUAAAGGUGUAAUAAAUAUACUGUUGACUGUUAGAAAAAUAUCCUGCCAUUUAACAUUAACUUAAAAAAGCACAACAAUAUGCCUGUUCCUUCUAUCAGAUGUUUUAAUUAAAUACUGGCAAUUCCCCAUUGCAAAACCAUGUUACUUAUUUUGUCCCAUGUAGUUUUGUGUCAGCAAGGUCAAAUUAUACUCUGCAUUUGUUCAGUUUAAUGAUUUUGUACUUUUAGAGUUGGAUGUCGAAACUGUUGUGAAAGGGAUGCUCAAUGUCAUUUAUAUUUUUCCAAAAAUAGGUAGUCUCUUUGUGUCCUCAUGCAUAAUUAUAACUAACACACUCAUGUGAAAUAUUCCUAUGUGGCAAGUCAGAUUUGACAUUUAAUGGGGAACGUCAUUGUAAAUUGACAACUAACGAAGUGCUUAGACUGGAAUUAGUAUCGUCAAGCCAAAUCUGGCUUGAUUUAGUAGAUGACUAUUUUCAAAAAUGAUGUUGAAAGUGAUACUAAUAUAUUUGUCAGUGCACGAAAAUUGGGUGUUCUCAAAAAUAAAAUUCUG